GUUAUUUAUAGGACUCUAUUGGGAUGAGUAGAUAAAGUCCCAGAUCUGUAAGAAAAGAGACAUUGACUGAGCAUUAAAAAGGCUGAAAAAGAAAGAGAACAAAAACCGAGACAGUGUCAAAAACAUGGACAAAUGUUGGCAUUUCCCUUUUACCUUGGGGGCAAGUCUUUAUGAAUUCCAUGACUGGAGUCCAAAGGGCUCCCUCUGAAUACCUCCAACACUUUUAAGGGAAACAGCAAACAAACAAACAAAAUACAUUAACAUGCCUGGGAGCUCAUCACUUUUGCUUGGCGGCAACCAUCUUCACUCCCAAAGGGCCAUGCUGUUGGGGAUAUUUAGCUAAGGAAACAAAUCACCGUGGAAUAGUUUCUGCUCCAGGAGAAACAGCGGUUAUGAGCAGGAUCAGUGUUAACUGUCAAAAGGCUUGAAAAAUAUCUUUUCUUAAAUCCUACUCUGUGCUGACUUCACGGUAUUCCCCUCCACCACCAAAAAAAGUUGAAAGAAGUGUUUUCACUAACACCCCACCAAGGAAACUAAAAUUACAGUAGGCAAAUAGCUGCAGAAGAAACACAAAAACACAAAGGAUUUUAAUGCAAAGCCCAAGUGUCUUCCAUUGUUCCAAAGAAAACCAUCAGAAAUGCAAAUAUUAGGAGUUGUAGGGUUAUAGGUCAUAGCUGAGGUUAGUUAAUCUUGGUAAUAAAGAGGCGGUCACAAAUCUUUUAUUACCUCUGUGGAGCUUCAAGCCUUUUGUUUGUACUGUAGAGUCUGUCUUUGGAAAUGGAUCAACAUGGGAAAAGGUAAGUCUUAUGAUACGGUUAGACUGCGUCCCCCACCCAAAUCUCAUCUUGAACUGUAACUCCCAUAAUUUCUAUGUGUCAUGGGAGAGCCUGAUGGGUGGUAACUGAAUCAUGGGGGUGGGUCUUUCCUGUGCUGUUCUCGUGAUAGUGAAUAAGUCUCAUGAGAUCUGAUGGUUUUAUAAUCGGGAGUUCCCUCACAUAUGCCCUCUUGCUGGCCCUCAUGUAAGACGUGACUUUGUCCUCAUUCACCUUCAGCCAUGAUUGUGAGGCUUCCCCAGCCAUGUGGAACUGAGUCAAUUAAACUUCUUUCUUUUAUAAAUUACCCAGUCUCAGGUAUGUCUUUAUUAGCAGCGUGAGAACAGACUAAUACACCUUACUAAGUAUUUUUCUAGUACUUAUAAAACACCUUUUGUUUGUUUGUUUUUUCCUGCAACUCAGCUAUGGAAUUUACAAAUCUUAUCAGGGUAAUGUUUAAUUCUUUUCCUCUUAAGAUAAAACAUGAAACUAUGUUUAGGAAUCAUGAACAAAAUAAUAAUUAUGAAGCAUGAAAUAUUUGGAUGACUUUGUUUUCGGCAGAGAAUAGUAUCUUUUAACUUUUAGGACUCUGAAAGACAGAAGAAAAAAUGGAGACUUGCAUAUCUUCUAACAUGUCUUUUUGCUCUUAGCUAUUCAUCCCCCAAUCUUCUGGAGGCUGUAUCCUAUGUUAUAUGUUACAGAGAGAAAAUAAUCAUGUAGAACAAAUGUAAUAACUUGAAAUAUAAAAGUGAUUUAUGAUGAAGAAAUUCUUUCAUAGGAAACCAUUCUCUCAGGAACUUUCCUGAAAGUCUCUGGGAAUUUAUGAAAUGAUUUUGCUGAUGAAGCUUAUUUUUAGCUGUACCCGAUGGCAGUCUCCUUGCAAAAGAGAUGGGGAUUCUGUUUAUGCUACAGAAAUUGAAGUUCUGCACAGCAGUCAAUAGAAAAUAAUGGAUAUCAGUUUCACAGCUGGAACUGCUGACUUGAUCAGAUUUUAUA
rnacentral:lncRNA from 1 species